CUAAGGAACUCGGCAAAAUGGCCCCGUAACUUCGGGAGAAGGGGUGCCAGCGAGAGCUGGUCGCAGUGAAGAGGCCCAGGCGACUGUUUACCAAAAACACAGGUCUCCGCUAAGUCGCAAGACGAUGUAUGGGGGCUGACGCCUGCCCAGUGCCGGAAGGUUAAGGAAGCUGGUCAGCGCAAGCGAAGCUAGCGACUGAAGCCCCGGUGAACGGCGGCCGUAACAAUAACGGUCCUAAGGUAGCGAAAUUCCUUGUCGGGUAAGUUCCGACCCGCACGAAAGGCGUAACGAUCUGGGCGCUGUCUCGGAGAGAGGCUCGGCGAAAUAGAAUUGGCUGUGAAGAUGCGGACUACGUGCACCCGGACAGAAAGACCCUAUGAAGCUUUACUGUAGCUUGGUAUUGUGCUCGGGCUCGGAAUGCGCAGGAUAGGUGGGAGGCUUGGAUCCAUUGCUUGCGGGUGAUGGUGAGCCACUGGUGAGAUACCACUCUUUCCGAGCUAGAGUUCUAACCCUCGCCCGUUAUCCGGGGAGGGGACAGUAUCAGGUGGGCAGUUUGACUGGGGCGGUCGCCUCCUAAAAGGUAACGGAGGCGUGCAAAGGUUCCCUCAGGCUGGUUGGAAAUCAGCCGACGAGUGCAAAGGCAGAAGGGAGCUUGACUGUGAGACCUACAAGUCGAACAGGGACGAAAGUCGGCCUUAGUGAUCCGACGGUUCUGCGUGGAAGGGCCGUCGCUCAACGGAUAAAAGUUGCUCUAGGAUAACAGGCUGAUCUCCCCCAAGAGUUCACAUCGACGGGGAGGUUCGGCACCUCGGUGUCGGCUCAUCGCAACCUGGGGCUGAAGUCGGUCCCAAGGGUUGGGCUGUUCGCCCAUUAAAGCGGUACGCGAGCUGGGUUCAGAACGUCGUGAGACAGUUCGGUCCAUAUCCGGUGCACGCGCAGGAAUAUUGAGAGGAUUUCUCCCUAGUACGAGAGGACCGGGAGGAACGCACCUCUGGUGUGCCAGUUAUCGUGCCAACGGUAAACGCUGGGUAGCCAUGUGCGGAGAGGAUAACCGCUGAAAGCAUCUAAGUGGGAAGCCCACCUCAAGAUGAGUAUUCCCAUGGCAAAAGCCAGUAAGGUCACGGGAAGAUUACCCGUUGAUAGGCUCUACGUGGAAGCGCAGCAAUGCGUGAAGCGGAGGAGUACUAAUAGACCGAGGGCUUGAC
rnacentral:rRNA from 1 species